UAUAGCCUCACGCGCUAAAUUUCCUAUCUGACUUAAGCAUCGGAUGGGCGACGAGCACACACCUCGUUGCCUUUGUUGCAGGUAUUCGAAGGUCGUUCGUGUUCAUCAAAGUUCGGAGUUCAAUCACCGAGUUCGAGAUCUUUUAGGUACUAUUUUUUGGAAGCAUAUAUAUAUAUAUAUAUAUAUAUAUAUAUAUAUAUUAAAUUCAGCCAAGAGUAGCUCCAAAUUAACCGUUUAUGUGGGUAUGAAUUGCUUCAGUUUCCUCUUUCUUUCAGCCCAAAAGGCAGCCUCCAAUGAGCUUAAGUCUGGACGUUAACCGACCUCCAUCCAUCACCAAAUAAUUGAAGAUUUCGUGCCGCGCCUGGAUCACAUCACGAAGGCCAAUAGAUUUUGAUAUUUUAACCUCAGCAGAACUGAAAGAGGUUAGUCUUUUGCAUUUCUUCAUGUUAUUUUGGGAUUUGGAUCGUCUGUUAUUUGUAAUACUUCAAUGUUAAAAAAUUAUUUAAUAAUUUGUGUUCAUAAGUAGUAAUUAAUGUCUAGCAGGAAAAUUGAUUUCCCGACUCCCCAAAUUAUAAAGCUACUAUAUAUAAAUUUUUUCUAUCAAAAUAAGCAUAGACGGAUUUAGGGGGGCUGGGUUGGACUGGGCUGCAGCCCCCCCUCCUCCACACUCAGGCCCAAAAACUUUUUUUUUAAGUAUUUUUUAUUUUUAUUUGGUAAAAAAUCAGUUUUUUAUGUGUAAAAAAAUUUUUUUUGCUUAGUAGCCCGGUUUGAAAUUUUGUAUCCCGGUCUUGGAUCCAAUCCUGAAUCCGUCCCUGAAAAUAAGUUAGCUGUUCUUGAUUUUCUCCUCAAGGUGAGGGAUGUGCAAAUUAUCACUCAACUCUUGCACAGUUUUCAUGAUCGGUACAACGUGCUAGGAAACAAUAGCACUUUUAAGCCACUGUGGAGAUUCAAACUUGUAAGGAGAAAUUAGAAAGGCUUUAGAAACCAUUAACAUUAUUGGGCUUUUGCUUCGAUGUAGGAAAAUAACUACAAGUUGCAGUCCUUUUAUAUUCCUAGAAUUUACCUUUUAACUUUUAAACAUUAAUUCUUUUGACACAGCAUGGCUUGUCAUAAUUUUCAGGUGAUGAGAACAUUUUCUCGAUGUGGGAUAGUUGGGAGACGUUUUCCCAUUUGCCAUGUGCACAUUGAUGAUAUAGUUGUGAAAGUUUGUUUAACUUAUAUAUAAUAUUAUUAUUUGUAAAAUUACUUCUUAUUUGCUGCAUAACCCACUUGAUCGAUGUUCUUAUUGUCAUUUGUCGUCUUAUUUUUAAGUAGGCAAGAAUAGUAAUUGAAUAGUAGCUCUCUUUCUUUUGAAAAUGUUAACAAGCUAAUUCUUUCCCUUUUUCUCUUUAGUAACUAACACUAUCAUUUUAUACCCUUUUCCUUCUACCGGUUGUGCUGCUCUUCUAUUGCGUUCUCUCUCUCUCUGUUUUUUCGUUUUUCUUCUCCAUUUUUAAUGGUGUCUAAAAGUUGAUUUUAUGCUUUUUGCAUCUCAUUGAGUUUACCAUUGUUGAGGUCAUAUGAAUGCACAUGAAGGUGGGGUGAAUUGUUGAGGUCAUUUGAAUGCUUUUGGUAAUUGUUUCAAUGUUUUAUACAGCCUUCUGAGAUGAUUCUACAUGAUGCGAUUGGAACAAAUGCUCUUAUGAAGUGUUUACCCUUGAUACGUAUAUAAAUAUAAAAUUAUAUUCUUGUGCGCAUGUGAUCUUGUUUUGACAUGGGAGGUUUGGUGAGUUCCAUACUGAAAAUUAUACACUAGAAACUUCAACACCUUACUUAGAAUUUUACACAAAUUGCUUCUACUUCUAUAUGUACAAUUGAGAAAGAAAAUAAAAUAUUUUUGUACAAAUAUAUAUGGAAGUUUAUACCAAUGUGUUGAACACACAACCAUGUUUCUCCAAUAAACUGUUUUGUUACAUAAAUUUCAGAACUCCAAACAAAUGGUGCAAGAGGGAACCCUCAGUGCUUUAGCUUCAAAUGCCAAUUCACUCCAAGUACACUAUUAUGUAAUUAUUAAGUGUUAUUUUUAUAUUUCUUUGCUUGUAUAACGAGUCUGUUAAACUGCAUUUAUAAAAGCACCUCUGAAAAUACUGUGAUGCAGACAUGCUGUUAUGCCUUACUUAAAAGCUAUUUUGAUGAAUGUUAUCGACAAGUCUAUCUAUCUGCUUUGUGCCAUAGCCAUGGAAUAAAUUAGGGUGGUUAGAAAUGAGAACUUCAAAAAUAUGCCAAGUAGGUAAACAACAACAAACUUUGUAUAGGCCAUAUUUUUUUUAUUGAAUUUAAUGUAUUGCUUCUUAAUAUGUGGUAAUAACGUGUUUGUUCGUUGAUAUCAUUA
rnacentral:lncRNA from 1 species